rnacentral:lncRNA from 1 species
GGCUUCAUGGUUGGAGUCGAUCCUGGGUAUGGUUCAUCGUCCAUAGUGUCUCACGAGGACGUUGUGACCUGGUUGAGCAACAACAACCAGGGUAACGGUGGCAUAGCAACCUCCGGCGAGAUCUUGUCAAUGAACAUGGGCAUAGAUGGCAUGUGGAAGUAUUGACGAUCAUAUGACUCGCGAGAACAUAUACAUGUGUGCAUGCAUAAAAUAAUCAUCCACCAGAAGAUCGGUUGAUAUAUACCAACAUCUGUAUUGGUUUGCGCCGCAUUUCAUUUUUCAGCAUGAUCACAAGAGAGUUUGUAUGCAUUGUCUUGCUUGGCAUGCCUCUCUUGUGCUAGUAUUGUCUGUAUGUGUACUACCAUGUGUAUGCACCACCCGCCAGUGUAUACCUAGCUACAUUUCCAUGUUGUAGAAUACCUAUCAGUGUGUACAUCAAGCAUGUUUUUAUCGUCUGUGGAAUAAACUAUUUUGU